rnacentral:rRNA from 1 species
GAUCAUUAAAGAGUCUGAUCCUCGGAUCUACUCCCACCACAUGUCUACCUUGACCGUUGCUUUGGCGGGCCGGCCUUCGGCCCCCCGGCUGCCGCUGGGGAGCGCCCGCCAGAGGAUCUUUAAACUCGGUUCAAAACUUGCACUCUGAGUCGAAAACAAAUAAAUCAAAACUUUCAACAACGGAUCUCUUGGUUCUGGCAUCGAUGAAGAACGCAGCGAAAUGCGAUAAGUAAUGUGAAUUGCAGAAUUCAGUGAAUCAUCGAAUCUUUGAACGCACAUUGCGCCCUUUGGUAUUCCGAAGGGCAUGCCUGUUCGAGCGUCAUUUAAACUCUCAAGCUAAGCUUGGUGUUGGGAACCGCCCGCAGGGGCGGUCCCGCAACCCGUCGAGCGCGACCGCGCAGCAUCAAACGUAGCAAGACUUUCGUUUAGUUGCCUGCGCGGCCGCCGCCAGAUGAUCAACCUCUCAAAGUUUGACCUCGGAUCAGGUAGGGAUACCCGCUGAACUUAAGCAUAUCAAUAAGCGGAGGAAAAGAAACCAACAGGGAUUGCCUCAGUAACGGCGAGUGAAGCGGCAACAGCUCAAAUUUGAAAUCUCCUUCGGGCGAGUUGUAAUUUGCAGAGGAUACUUUGGAGUCAUCCUCGGUCUAAGUUCCUUGGAACAGGACGUCGCAGAGGGUGAGAAUCCCGUACGUGGCCGGACGAUUUCUCCGUGUAAAGUUCCUUCGACGAGUCGAGUUGUUUGGGAAUGCAGCUCUAAAUGGGAGGUAUAUUUCUUCUAAAGCUAAAUACCGGCCAGAGACCGAUAGCGCACAAGUAGAGUGAUCGAAAGAUGAAAAGCACUUUGGAAAGAGAGUUAAAAAGUACGUGAAAUUGUUGAAAGGGAAGCGUUUACGGCCAGACUUGAUGGCGGUUGCUCAGCCGGUCUUUGCCCGGUGCACUCUUCCGUCAUCAGGCCAGCAUCAGUUCGGGUGGCUGGAUAAAGGCAUCGGGAAUGUAUCUCCUCGGAGUGUUAUAGCCCCUUGCACAAUACAGCCUACCCGGACUGAGGACAGCG